CGAGACUCUGGUGUUACUUUUAUGUUUAGCAUAUUUAAUUGGUCGAGUUACAGCAAUGAACCUUUUCAAACAAAAGGGAUAAACAACAAAAUCAAUUAAUCAAAUCUACACUCUAAUCAAUAUGUAAUAAUCAGUAUAGAUUGAUUGUUACUCUUUAUCAUUAUAUGUCACCCUUGCAAUUAUCCCCAUUGGAGAUUGGCAGUAAUUAAAAGAUCAAAAAGGAAACAAAAAGUUACAAUGGAUGAAAAAUGGAAAAUAAGACAAAUAUGAUGUUGAUGUUGAUGAUGAUGGAGAGGAAAAGAAGGUGACAAUGGUGGAAGAUGAAAGUAUUGAAUGAAAAGAAAGACCAUAGACUUUAAGAAAGAUCUGAUGAGGAUGCUAAAGACAAAGAUCAUUGAAAGGAAAAGAUUUAACUUGGAUCAAAGGAAAAGCUUUACACUUGAUUUGGAUUGAAUUGUUUCUUCAAUGGAUUUUUACUCAAUGAGAUUGAUUAAAGGGACAGAUUAACGUUAGAAAGAUAGUUAAAGUAUCUCAAAGACUAAAUCUGUUUCCAAUUCCAACAAAAAGUGACCAGUGAGAAUGUCAAUAGUGAAACAGAACAAGAAAAAAAAACCUUUGGUCAAUUUUAUCUUCUUCUUCUUCUAACCAAUGAAUUACUUGAAAAGCAGAUAUGGAAGAUACUAUUGAUGAUGAUAUAAUGGAAGAGAAAACUGUAAACAUGGUGUUGAUAUUUCGAGAGCAAAAGAAGUGGAAAAAUAUCAAGGAACCAAUUGCAAGAGAGAUGUAAUGUUAAUACAAUAGAUUUCACUUGGCGAUUACGAGAUAAUAUUGAGACCAAAAGAUUUGGGUUAAAAUUGAAAUUUUUCGUUGAAUUAGAUUCAAGAUUCAUCAGUUGAAUACUCCAUUUAUUUACUUUGAGCUAAUAAAUCAAAGUGAUCAGAUGCUGGAUCAUAAUGUUGUA